rnacentral:rRNA from 1 species
UGGGGAAUAUUGGUCAAUGGACGCAAGUCUGAACCAGCCAUGCCGCGUGAAGGAUUAAGGUCCUCUGGAUUGUAAACUUCUUUUAUCUGGGACGAAAAAAGGCGAUUCUUCGUCACUUGACGGUACCAGAUGAAUAAGCACCGGCUAACUCCGUGCCAGCAGCCGCGGUAAUACGGAGGGUGCAAGCGUUAUCCGGAUUCACUGGGUUUAAAGGGUGCGUAGGCGGGCAGGUAAGUCAGUGGUGAAAUCCUAGAGCUUAACUCUAGAACUGCCAUUGAUACUAUCUGUCUUGAAUAUUGUGGAGGUAAGCGGAAUAUGUCAUGUAGCGGUGAAAUGCUUAGAUAUGACAUAGAACACCUAUUGCGAAGGCAGCUUACUACGCAUAUAUUGACGCUGAGGCACGAAAGCGUGGGGAUCAAACA